UACGGAGGAUGCGAGCGUUAUCCGGAUUUAUUGGGUUUAAAGGGUGCGUAGGUGGUUUAUUAAGUCUGGUGUAAAAGGCAGUGGCUCAACCAUUGUAUGCAUUGGAAACUGGUAGACUUGAAUGCAGGAGAGGAGAGUGGAAUUCCAUGUGUAGCGGUGAAAUGCGUAGAUAUAUGGAGGAACACCGGUGGCGAAAGCGGCUCUCUGGCCUGUAACUGACACUGAGGCUCGAAAGCGUGGGGAGCAAACAGG
rnacentral:rRNA from 1 species